CCGAGCUUGGCCCAAGUCUAGUGGGGAGGGGGGCAGACAAGUUAGCAUUUGCAUCAGCAGAUAAGGGAGCAUGAAUUAAGAAAAAACUAGACUAAGGUUUUAAUCAUCUAAAAUUUUGACUCCAUCAAAAAUUCCUUACAUGAAGACCAAGAAGAAAGCCUGAGAGAGUUGUGCUUGCAAUUAAGCUGAUGAGCCUGAUAGUCACUUCUUCAAAAAUCUUUGGUCUUAAAGGUAUUUACACUGCCUGCCUGCGAAUCAUGUCAGUAACUCUGGGGGUGUGGAAUAGGCCUCGGUGCCCAGGGAUGUUGACGGUCCCAGCCAUUCUGUUCUCCUGCGGUUCCCAGGGAACCUGGCAUAGUCACAAGGGAAGAGGCUCAGCCCAGGUGUCGUCAAGAUCCGCGGACUCAAGGACCGUUGGGGAGAACCACAGGGCUAUCUUCUCAGGGUCUCCCACUGAGAGUCCCUGAGGAUUGGGACUGGUCAAACAGCACAGCCAUCCCUACCCUACACCACGAUUUUUCAUCUUCUUUCCUUAAGAGGGAAGACCUAACAUAGAGAGAUGAUGCUCAAGGUCCCUGGACCCACCAUUUCUUACUUUGUGUCACCUCCUUGUUCUGCACUGCACUGCUCUGAUCCUGUCUGACUCGCUGCCUCCCCAGUGGUGACAGGCUCCCCCAGGACCCCAUGCAGGGGUCUGGCAGACACAGAGAGGCUGCUGAGCUUUGGGCAGGGAGGACACAUGGGCAAAGGGAUUCCACGUCUGUUUUCUGCACCACCUCUCCGCAGAGAGCUCUCCCUGUGCCUCAUCAGAUCACUGCUCCAAAUCCCCCCAAAGUGCUCUCCUUGACCCUCCUCCAAGGGAACACCAUGCUCACCUGAUACUACCUGGGAGAAAAGUACAAGAACAAGGAAAAUGGAGAGAAAGUUCCCGGUGGACUGGCACCUCUGAGGGCUCCUGGAGAGCAGAGUCAGGACACGUGUCUCCAGGGGGACCCCCGGGAGUGCCUGCUGCACCUGGAGCUGGCGGAGGAGGAGAGACCACUGCAGGCGCCUGUUCACCUGGCUGUGACACAGAGUCCUCAUGCUACAGUCAGGCUGGGCUCUUAGAACGUGACUGUCCCUGUGGACACACUCGGGUUGACUCCGGCAGGGCACAGGACGAGAAGGCUUUCUGAGUGGCUGAAGACAGAGGCCGGCUCAGCAGGCCCCAGGGAUGCUGCGCAAACUGACAGCAGAAGAGGGAGUGUGCACUAGAGCUGGCUGCUGCACACAGGGUCCCAGCAGGGAAGGGACGUGGCCCUACCAGGCCACAGGGGCACCCACCUCUGGGAGAGGACAUGGCCCAUCCCCAGUCUCAUGGCUCAGUGGUUUGAUGGCCUCCCUGCUCUCUCUCCCACCAGGCAAUUUAACUUUAAAGGAACAGAGGGGAGCAGGGGCCGGCUCUCCCAAUCAUGCCUCCGUGUUCCGGAAUCUUCCUCAUAAGCUUACACGUCCACCUAUUGUUGCUCCUGCGUUGCUUGAGGUGGAGUAGGUCUCCUUCCCAGAGUCAGCUCGCACCUGUGGAACCCACUUUUGCAGUGGGCCCCACAACCCAUGUCCCUCUUGUCUCUUCCCCAGGGGCUCCUUCACGUGGCCCAUGACGGUUCAGCUGUUUGUUUAAAACUAACCUGUCCUUGACCCAUUUCUUCUCCUAAAACCACUGCCUCAUUCUUUCCUUUGAUUCACCAUCAAGUUCCUUGAUAGUGGUCUCUACUCUGUGCGGUGGUCUCUUCUGAUCACCUGUUUUCCAAACCUGCCCCUUAAUGUGUUGCUUCCUGGCAUCUGUCUCAAUGAACCCAUUCAAAGCUCUCCUCCAAAUUCAACAGUGACAUUGCACCUCCAAUCCAGGGGAUCAUCUGACUCUGCCUUUUUGCAGCAUGUGACUUGUGAGGACACUCAUUCUCAAAACCUGUUCCUCUUCAGCUCAUCAUCUAGGAAACACUGUGGACACUGGCUGUCAGGCGUGUGGACCUGGCACUGACACAGAGCCUGGGAGGUGGAUUAUAUAGACCUCUGAUGACUUCCAUCUUCAUCUCUAAUCAGGACCACUCCAGAUUUUCCUGGCUGAUCUUUCAUCCUCUCCAAGAUCACUACCUUAAUAACAUCCAGUGCCUCACCAUCACCUCAGCUUAGAGUUACAGAGCCCAGGCCAAGUGUCAAACUCCACUGAGGACGGUCACCCGCCAACCUGCCCUACCCAGGAGUCAUGCAGAGCAUGCUUUGCCUCACAGCUGGAGCCUUUGCCAAACUCCUUCAUGAACGUGGUCUGGACCUGUGGACACCUCUCACUGCCUCUCUAGAAGGUGUAGGGGUACUUUCAUUUGUUUCCUUAUGUUAACGAGAAAGUAAAUGUUUCCAAACUUGGAUACUUGGGACAAGUAUUGUCAAGAAGAAAGCAUUCUAGAAGAGUAAGGAAUGGAGAGGGAACCUCAGCAGGCAAUGCAGGUUCAACCAAGGGUCAACAACAGAGCGACCUGAGCAGAUUUAUGUUUUGGAAAGAAGCUCACAGCAAACACAAGAGGGAGGAAGGUUAGAGGGUUCUGAGACCACGACUAAGGAGCCCAAGGGCUGAACAGAAGGCUGCCACAUUUCUAAGGGGAUGAACAGAGGGGCACGAGAGCCAGGCCUCUACAGGAUGGGAUGGCACGUUGACGUGGUGGUCAGGGCGUCAAGGGGGAGGGUUCUGUUCUGGGGACAGCGUGGACAGUGGUACCCUUUAUCAUGGAGGCGUGAUCUGGAGAGAGAGCCUGGCUGCAGUCACCCUACCUUCUAACAGGCUCCAACUCGUUCAGGAAUCUGAAGCCUUAGCCUGAUGUGGUGCCCCAGGCCUUUCCCACAGUCUUCAGAAUCUCACCUGGCCAGCGGGGGCUGACUCGCCAGAUCCUGAGGGUGAAGUCAGGAGGGAGAUAUAAUCCAUAUAAGGCCACUCCAAGGACAUUCUCCUGCUGUCCAGGCAGCAAUCGCAUCAUUCCAAAUGGAAAGGAGUGGCCACAUGUGUCUGUUUAUUCAUUGACUGCAUUUCACUCCUGGCCCCAGUGAAGACCCACCACCCAGCACCUGUGGCCACUAGACACCACGGCCUUCUGGCUGCUUCCCUGGACAGGAGUUUUAAGGUACAGAGGACUCCGUACCUUAAAGUACACCUUAAGGUACAACAGCCAUGGGGUCAGCUCAUUCAUGGGUGGGGAAUGUGGGUGAGGGUCAUGAUGUAUCCUGGGGGCCCAGGGGAAUUUUCUUUUCAAAUAGGACUUAUGCCACUGUCACUUAAUCAGAACUGGCACUUGGAAUGAACUGGUUCCCUACCACAUUAGGGAAUCGCUAAAUGCUUUAGGAUGGCUGGCAUCUGCGGAGCUGUUAUCCCAGGCCUGGCCCUGCAGUUAUUAUUCUGGAGUUAGUGCUGCGAUCUGUGUGUUACAAAAAUAGAAUCCAAGGCCAAGAGAAGUUGGAAAUAACUUUCUGAAAUUCGAAUCUGAAACCUAGAAUCCCCUGGAUCACAGAUUAUUGUGCUAACCAUCCACUCUACCACUUGAGGCCACUACAGCUAAGUUUUACAUUCACCUUUUCAUCUCAAGUUUUGGAAGAGUGGUUUCCCAAUGUGAAGGUAAAUGAACCUCAUUUGGUGGAGAACAAAUGAUACAGCGUUUGGGGAAGUGAAGCCACUCCUUCCCUCUUGAUGCAGACCACAGCGCUCCUUCUGUUUUGGGAAUUCCCAGCUUACCGCCUCAGGGAGGUGUACACCAUGACAUUGGCCAUGCUGGUGCUCUGAGAGAAUUCAAUCAAAUGAUGAAUUUGGCAUCUUUAUCUCAAUCUGCUCUUCCAUUUUCUUCAAAGAGCUUUAGGAUUGCAUCUAAUAGGGUUAGCAAACCUCUUGUAUAGAGGGCAGGCCUGUGCACGUGUUCAGGUUUUGUGGCCAUGUGGCUUCUGUUGUGAGUACUCGGCUCUGCAGGGUCAGGUCAGUGCAAAGACAAUCAUAACAAUAUGUAAACAAAUGGCCGUGACUUUGUUCCAAUAAACUUCAUUUA